rnacentral:piRNA from 1 species
UGAGCUUUUGAAGUUAGCACAUUCUGUUUUC